UACAGAGGUCUCAAGCGUUGUUCGGAUUCAUUGGGCGUAAAGGGUGCGUAGGCGGCGCGGUAAGUCGGGUGUGAAAUCUCGGAGCUUAACUCCGAAACUGCAUUCGAUACUGCCGUGCUUGAGGACUGGAGAGGAGACUGGAAUUUACGGUGUAGCGGUGAAAUGCGUAGAUAUCGUAAGGAAGACCAGUGGUGAAGGCGGGUCUCUGGACAGUUCCUGACGCUGAAGCACGAAGGUCAGGGGAGCAAACGGG
rnacentral:rRNA from 1 species